AUUGAACGCUGGCGGCAUGCUUUACACAUGCAAGUCGAACGGCAGCGCGGGCUUCGGCCUGGCGGCGAGUGGCGAACGGGUGAGUAAUGCAUCGGAGCGUGCCCAGUAGUGGGGGAUAGCCCGGCGAAAGCCGGAUUAAUACCGCAUACGACCUGAGGGUGAAAGCGGGGGACCGAAAGGCCUCGCGCUAUUGGAGCGGCCGAUGUCGGAUUAGCUAGUUGGUGGGGUAAAGGCUUACCAAGGCGACGAUCCGUAGCUGGUCUGAGAGGACGACCAGCCACACUGGGACUGAGACACGGCCCAGACUCCUACGGGAGGCAGCAGUGGGGAAUCUUGGACAAUGGGGGCAACCCUGAUCCAGCCAUGCCGCGUGCGGGAAGAAGGCCUUCGGGUUGUAAACCGCUUUUGUUCGGGAAGAAAUCCUCUGGGCUAAUACCCCGGGGGGAUGACGGUACCGGAAGAAUAAGCACCGGCUAACUACGUG
rnacentral:rRNA from 1 species